CUACUUACUGCUAUGUAAGUGUAAACCCCUAUUGUCUCUACUGUUGUUAUUACUGAAUCAGAAUCCCUAAGGGUAUGAUCUGGAUGUUUCUGGUUUGGAAGAGCUGCUCAGGAGAUUCCGAUUUGCAUGCUUGGUUCAGAACCAACUGUCUCUUGGAUUGUCUGUUUCAUAGAUAUGAGAAAACGUGAAGUGCAGUGGGACCUGAUUAACCAGGAAGAGCACAGGUUUCUGGGAUCCAAUUCUCACUGGCAAACUCAUUCAGCUUGGCUUGCCAUCUUCCUCCUCCUCCUACCGCUAACAGUCUUGGGUCUCACUUCCUAUGAGGGCACCAGCUCCUCUUCUUGCAGGGGCUGAAAGUGAGCAAGGAAGAGCUCCAGGGAUGAAGGAGACGAGGGAGGGAUGUGUGGGUGCAAUCCACCCACCGCCUAACUAGCUACUGAGAAAUAGUGAGCUGGCGGCUGUGAGAGCUCUGGGGGCUGCUGAGCCUUCCAAGGGUUUACCAAGAUGGGACAAAUCUAAUGAGAAGAAAGUUACAGCAAAGCUUAUUGAACAAUAACCCAUUUCUUUCAUUUAGAAACAAUGAAGACACAUUUUUCUCACUUCCAUAGCACAAGGAAGACAAUAUCAGUGAUUUGUGCUGCCUGGUUAUCCAGUCUCUUUACCAACUUGGCUUAUUUGCUUGCUGCGAGAUAUGAACACUUAGGGCUGAAUGUGGCUCUCUUCUCUCUGGUGCUCGUAGUGCUAUUGGAAUCCGGCCAGCACGCUGUGAGAAGCCCACAUCACACGGAGAGACUCAAGGAGGAGAAAUGAGGCAGUCGGCUGAUAGCGCAAUUGAGCUCCAGGCCAUAGUGGGCUUUCCAGCCCAGCCAAGCCUUCAGAUGAUGGCAGCACCCCAGGUUAUAGAUACCAGACAGAGCAGAUAAACCACUCGACUGAACCCAGCCAUGCCACAGAACCACAAAAGAUAGCAAAUAGCAGCUUUGGUCUUAAGUGACUAUGUUUGGGAGUGGCUUGUUGCACAGAAAUAGAAAACUAAAACAAUGUCAAUUGAUUUUAUUCAUUUUAAUAAUCACCUACUAAUUCAUCAAAUAGCUAAAACUCAUGUCAUAAGAAAGGGGGCAUUUAUGUUAUGUCUAUAUCCUUGUAGGGACAGAGUGAUAGACAUCCUAUAUGCAUGUAUCUGGGCACCUGGGCAAACAGAUAUCUCUAGGUUAAAUUCCUAAAAUUAAAAUUCUUAUGAAAUGAUGUGUGAAUUUAAAAUUUGGGUAGAUAUUGCCAAAUCAUCCUCCAAAGGGGUCCUGCCACAUUUUGUAUUUCCACCAGAAAUGUAUGAAGGAGCCAGAUUCUCUGUACCCUUGCCUACAAGGGUAUGGGGAUAUAAUCAAACUUUUAAUCUUUCUUGUCCGACAGAUUAAAAAAAAAUUCAACCGUGUUGUGUUUUAGUUUACUUUUCU
rnacentral:lncRNA from 1 species